CCUCGGAUGUCGAGACGUUCCAGGCCGGUGGAAAAUUCAGGGAACGCGGGAUAUCGCGAUUCUUCGUACCAGUUUCGCACGUAUCUCGAGAUUCCGCGAAAGAUCGUAGAAUAAAUUUUCACGCCGCUGUGUCCAGGUUGAUCUAUCGUCUAAAGCGCGCGUAUUUUUCCUCCUCCUCCUCCUCCUCCUCGUCCUCUUUCCAAUGCGCCUCCUCAUUGACAAUGCCAAGCGUUUACGCGCCGGUCCAACUGGUCGUCUCGAGCGAGAGCCGCCGCGUUAAAUUCAACUUUACGAUCGUCUAUGCGUCACUUCUCGAGCUUUCCUCGCCACGUGUAAACAAACGUGGCGAGUUGGGACGGGUUUGAACGACGGCGUAAUACUUUCAUGAGCAGUUCUAAAACGAGAGAGAGAAGGGCAAAGAGAGAGAGAGAGAGAGAGAGAGGCGAGGUUUGCAACUCGCGGCGAUGACAUCAGGGGUCACGCGGCUACUUGACCCUUCCUGUUUUCCAUAAUAUGGUCAAUUAGUGGAAGACGGAGCUAGUGUCGACGAGGAGGAGGAGCCGGCAACUUCAGCUUUCGUACCGUUUUCUAUGGGAAUGAAUUUAUCGCGGAAUGCGUGCGGUUCUUAAUUUGUGCUUAAUUCGCGGUCGCGUACGACGUUGUUGAUCGUUAUAGGAAAGGAUAUUCGGGCGGAUCGUUUCAAUUUAUACGGGUAUUUUAUAGGUUACGUUGUUCGAAUUAUCAUUUAAUAAUAAUAAUUGUGAAAAGAUGUUUGUAAAAGAAAAUAUGUGCAGCGAGAAGAGAAUAUAAAUGGAAGUAAUCCUUGAGAAUCUUUAUGUUUCGGAUUAUUUUAGAUUAUUAUAUUAUGCGAAGAAACAUUAUGUGAAAAACAUUUUCUAUAAUAUAAAUAAUUAGUUGAAUUAGAAAAAAGAACUCGAUUGAACAAAAAUCUUCGUAUAUUAUCUUCAAGAAAAUUCGUUUAAUCUAAGAUUUGUUUCCAAUAAUAAUUUUUCUUCAAAAUUGAAAACUUGAAAACAAAAGUAAAAGAUCUUCCAAUGAAAUUGCUCCAUAAUUCAAGAUCAAAAAACGAAACGACUUUAGUCGAAUUUAUUCCAUCGAUCCGCAGCGAUAGAAAAAAAUCAAUCACACGAUUCGAGGAGAGAUUCAUCAGAAUGAAUUAACGAGUGAAUUAACAUUUCGCCGUUAACGAGCCACUCACGUUACACGUUCCCUCGAUUAUACGAUCCCUCGAUCCGCCUCUAUCGAAACGAGCGACACGUGACAACGUUUACAACGUUUAAAAACCCGCGAAAUGAAUUAUCCCCCGUGGCGGAGGAUACGGUACGCUAAUGAGACUCUCGUUAAGAUAGCUUUGGAAUCCGCGCAUAAACACUGACAUUUGCGAAUAGCCACAUAGGAAACAGACAUCGAUGCGACGUGGCAUUAACGAGCCAUUAAUACGUCAUCGUUAACGAUCCGAGGCGCAACCCUCUUCGCGAUUCGAGCGGAGACGAGAACAGAUUUUGAUUUUAUCCUCUAUUCAAAGAGCGGUGAUUUAUCGCCGAUUGCAUGUUUCGUCAACUUGUCAAAUUGAUAAUCCACUAUGGAAUAGCACAGAAGAGGAAUUAUUACGACGAAAGAAAUUAAACUUUACCUCGAGUCGAAUUACUGACAUUCGAAUAAAAAUAUUUCCAAUUUUUUAAAUUCCACGAAUGAUAAAUCCUCGAAGAAUAUAUUUCCCAAGAAAAUUUCCCUUUGCAUUAUGCGCAAACGUGGGACAAACACUUCUCGCCAGAUUCAGAUUCGUUGUGAGACGUGAACGAAGACGAGGAGAGAAUUCGACCGAUAAUUAGACACGAAAGAGGCCUCUCGGUUUGAGACUUUGGCUACCACGCGGAGACACCUCGAGACACGUAGGUUAUACGGGGCGGUAAUGCGUAUGGACAAUUUGACAUUUGCAAAUAGGGGAUAGGUUGUAUUCACCGGUCGCAUGGGCGAGAGCAGCCAGCGUACGUGCAAAUUACUCGUGGCCGCGUGGGCGGAACAACGGGUUGAUGCAACGUGAAACGCGAAAGUGAGGUGAUCGCUGCGGAUGGAAUCGGAAUGAAAACGGCCCUCUUCGAUCUUCUACGUGCUACGGGUUACUUCAAUUACAUGUUUUCAUCGUCAGAAGAAAUUUCACGAGAUGAGGGAGCGUGGAUUGAUUUUUCAAUGGUUCAGAGGCAGAGCAGAUAUAUCCAGUAUCGGCGAAAUAUUUCGCCGUUACCGAACGUGGGCAAGAUUGGUAGCGAGAGCCUGUCCCGUGGGGGCUUAUCGAAAGUUAUUUAUGUCGCGCACAGUAGCUAACUCCGCGUGUGCACGCGGCAGACUGCACGCGUGCACGUGCUACCGAAAAUUCCGUCAACACCCACGCGCGGCCCAGAAGCACCUGGCCGACGCGAUAAAAACACACCGAGGAAAGAGAGCGAGCGGCCGGAUCUUGAUAAACCCGCAGACAUCGCGGCCACUCUGAUAAAUCUGCUGGAGAACAAGCUCGCGAAAAACUGUUGUCUCGCGUGUCUCAUCUCCGAUUCUAGUCUUUACUCGAUUUAAUUUUUCGAUCUCUCGUUGUACUUUGUAAAAAAAAAAAAGAUAUUUAAAAAGAUGAAAGAAAGACAGGAAGAUGUGUUCGUUGUUGUCGCAUUUCUUUCAUUUUUACUUGGAAAAAGAAAUCUUGUUGAGUUUAUUUGAAGAAAAAAAAGUAAUAGACAAGUAUAGAAUUAUUUGAUUUGAUAUUUGUACUUCUAUUUCGAAAUGUGAUUUUACACAGAGUUGAGAAUUUAAUUGCUUUGACUUUUCUGAGAAGAUGAAUGCAUUAAUAGAUCUACAUAAAAUAUUCAAUAUAAAUGGAAAAUUAUAACGAAAUAUUGUAAUAUAACUUUUGACUAACCAUAUUUUUCUUAGAUAAAACUAUUUACUUUCGUCUAUUUAAUAAUUUAAAUUUGAAAUGUAAAAUGGAAAAGCGAAAUAAAUAAGAAAGUAAUAAUCAA